ACUCAGUAAAAUCUUUGAAAUGGUUGCAUGUUGCGUUUAUAAUUUUGUUCAGUGUAAAAGCUAAAGGCAAACAGGAAAUUCACACAAACGAUUGCUGUGGAAAUCACCAGAACAGUAUAAUUCUGGUGAAGAAUCUCAAUCAGCUCAUUGGAAGGGUUCAUUAGCUUUAUCUGUGUCAUGCUCUUUUUAUUUUUCAUAACAUUUGAGUGUCAAAUAUGGUAAAUGUCAAACUUCUAGCGUCUUGUCCUGAAGGAUGGAGAAAGUUUGGCUCCAGCUUUUACUACCUUCUACUGAGAAGAAUCCUGGGAGAAGAGUAGACAGGACUGUCUGGAGAGAGGAGCAGACCUGGUAAUCAUUAACAGUGAAGAGGAACAGACAUUUAUCAAUGGGUUUGAGUCAGUCAAGUGGGUCUGGAUUGGUCUGACUGAUUCUGUUACUGAGGGGACCUGGAAAUGGGUGGACGGCACCCCACUGACCACCCCAAGGUAUUGGUGGAGGAGAGCCUGAUGGUGGUACAGACCAGAACUGUGUGGAAAUCUAUUACACAUCGUCAGGCCAAGGAGUAUGGAGGGAUUUGGGAUGUUCCUUUUCACAAGAAUGGAUCUGUGAGAAAUAGGCUUCUCAUAGGUACUUCUCUGCACUGCUGAUGAAUGAACUCUCUACUGUAUGUUAAUGAUGGUCUGAAGACUGGUGGGAUUUGAUAGAAUGAAACUCUGAACUACAGCUCGGAUUUGAUAGAAUGAAACUCUGAACUACAGCUAGGAGCGAAACACAUACGAACACAUUCACACACACGAAGAUAGUGAUCUGAACCAGAGUCUCCCGCAGGAGAAACCAACGUCUUAAUUAGCAAAGAGGAAAUUCCCUUUUGGGCCGAGAGCUGACACUGAUUUUGACAUUUUAGGCGGGGCUACCUCAUGACAUGACUAUGAGCAACCAAUCAUGACCGACUCAUGUCCGCUACACAAGCUUUCACACAAUGUAUUCAUUUGUCAAACAAUGAUGUGUAGAAUAGGGGUGUAAUAUCAUUCAAUAGCCGCUGUCAAUCAAUUACUGUUGUUUACUCUUCAAAUACAUUUAAAUUGACUAUAUGUUAUCAGAUAUACAGCAUGUUUGCUUCUUGUGCUUUUAUUAUUCUGAACAUAAACAGUGUGUACUUCCUGCUAAUUCAAUAAAUCAUUCAACCGAGAUUAAAGACAUUUCCUGUCUA